CCACGAAAUUGUGGAGUACCACGCAGUCUAACGGCACACGGGAGCUUGCUCCUGGUGGCUAGUGGCGAACGGGUGAGUAAUGCGUCGGAACGUGCCGAGUAAUGGGGGAUAACGCAGCGAAAGUUGUGCUAAUACCGCAUACGCCCUGAGGGGGAAAGUGGGGGAUCGCAAGACCUCACGUUAUUCGAGCGGCCGACGUCUGAUUAGCUAGUUGGUGGGGUAAAGGCCUACCAAGGCGACGAUCAGUAGCGGGUCUGAGAGGAUGAUCCGCCACACUGGGACUGAGACACGGCCCAGACUCCUACGGGAGGCAGCAGUGGGGAAUUUUGGACAAUGGGGGCAACCCUGAUCCAGCCAUUCCGCGUGAGUGAAGAAGGCCUUCGGGUUGUAAAGCUCUUUCAGCUGGAGUGAAACGGUGCGCUCUAACAUAGCGCGCUAAUGACGGUCCAGCAGAAGAAGCACCGGCUAACUACGUGCCAGCAGCCGCGGUAAUACGUAGGGUGCGAGCGUUAAUCGGAAUUACUGGGCGUAAAGCGUGCGCAGGCGGAUUGUUAAGCAAGAUGUGAAAUCCCCGGUGCUUACCUGGGAAUGGCAUUUUGAACUGGCAGUCUAGAGUGCGUCAGAGGGGGUUGGAAUUCCACGUGUAGCAGUGAAAUGCGUAGAGAUGUGGAGGAACACCGAUGGCGAAGGCAGCCCCCUGGGAUGACACUGACGCUCAUGUACGAAAGCGUGGGUAGCAAACAGGAUUAGAUAACCUGGUAGUCCACGCCCUAAACGAUGUCAACUGGUUGUUGGGGGAGUGAAAUCCCUUAGUAACGAAGCUAACGCGUGAAGUUGACCGCCUGGGGAGUACGGUCGCAAGAUUAAACUCAAGGGAAUUGACGGGACCCGCACAAGCGGUGGAUGAUGUGGAUAAUUCGAUGCAACGCGAAAACCUUACCUACCCUGACAUGUCCAGAAGCCUGAAGAGAAUUUGGGGCCUAAAAAGGGAGUGGAACACAGGGCGCAUUCAAG
rnacentral:rRNA from 1 species